UCUCUUGUGCGUCUCUUUCUCUUGCAUCACACUCAAAGAUCUCAAUCACUCAGUAACUGGAAGGCACACAGUAUGGAGCUCUCUCCUCUAGGCCUGCUGUUCGUGCUGAGCUUGUAUUCCUACUCUGGACAUGCUGAAGCUCUGCCCACAGCUACAGUGACUGU